rnacentral:lncRNA from 1 species
GGCAGCAGUACGAGAGAGAGGCAGCAGUACGAGAGAGAGGCAGCAGUACGAGAGAGAGGCAGCAGUACGAGAGAGAGGAGAGAGAGCGAACGUCAAGAGAGAGGCAGCAGUACAAGAGAGAGGCAGCAGUACGAGAGAGAGGAGAGAGCGAGCGGCAGCAGUAAGAGAGAGAGGAGAAAGCGAGCGGCAGUAGUGAGAGAGGAGAGUGAGUGAGCGGCAGCAGUAAGAGAGAGCGAGCGGCAGCAGUAAGAGAGAGCUGCAGCAGUACGAGAGAGAGAGGAGAGAGCGCGAGCGGCAGCAGUAAGAGAGAAGCAGCAGUACGAGAGAGAGAGGUGAGAGAGCGAGCGGCAGCAGUAAGAGAGAGUGAGAGAAAGAGUAUCCUCUUCUUGACAGAUUUUAAAUUGUAGCCAGAUGUUAAAUCUCUGUGGUUGGAAGUUCUUAACUCUGACACCCUCUCUACCCAGCACCUGUCCACAAGCCCCGCGCUUCCCUUCAUUAAGUACUGGAGGAGGGGGACUAUCCUGCCACCAAAACUCUGACACCUUCUCCCACUAGAGGAGGGAGAGGAGAAGGGGAGAGAGAGGGGAGAAGGGGAGAGAGAGGGGGGCAGGGUAGAGGAGGGAGGCAGGGUAGAGGAGGGAGGCAGGGUAGAGGAGGGAGAGGAAAGGAGGAAUGCUGUGCAUUUCAUGUCUAAUUUCCUUGACCUCCAAACCAUCAACAGAAUCAGUGAUUGUCUCCAGGACCAUAAAUGGACAUGUGUUGUUGUAAUGAGGCUCUUCUUGACACAUUGCCUGCUUUAUGAGGGCUGGCUGCCACACCAGAGGACAGCAGUGAUUAGGGAAGGGAGCGUGUGUUUGGUGUUUACAUAUUCUGGGUGGUGAAAGAUAACUGAUCUGAUAUAUCUAGAAUAUAUUCCAAGAGGCAGAACAAUGUAUUAAUAUAAACCCUGAAAACAGAGUAUGGAACAUGGCUGAGUAAGUAGGGCAAAUAUUCAUAAACCUAGGAGAAACCUUCCUAACCUGGACACGUCCCCUGGGAGAAACCUUCCUAACCUGGACACGUCCCCUGGGAGAAACCUUCCUAACCUGGACAUGUCCCCUGGGAGAAACCUUCCUAACCUGGACACGUCCCCUGGGAGAAACCUUCCUAACCUGGACACGUCCCCUGGGAGAAACCUUCCUAACCU